rnacentral:lncRNA from 1 species
UUCUUCAAACCUCUGAGUUUUUAUUUCUUUCAAACCGUGUUCGCAUCUUCUCCAACUCACCAUUUUGUUUCUACUUCUUCUCUUCAACUUGUGUGUUCAUCUUCAAGUUCUGAGUUUUUAAUGGGUUCCGAGAAAUGGCUGAACAACCGCAUCCGGUUCGUGAGUUUCAUCGAAGUCAUAAUCAAAUUGCAUUGCUGGACGUGAACGUUCGUGGUGGAGCCG